AAGUGUCUGGAGGCAGUUCGAUACAAAUGAAGGUGAACAAACUAAAAUGAAUUCCAAACAAGAUGGAGGUGAGAAGACCACCUAAUCUGGAUGAAGAGAUUCAACAGCUGUAUAGCUGAGUCCUCUGCCUCAAACUCACUAUGCUGCCUUUCCGCCCAACUCCUCGUCUACAACAUGGAGAUAAUGAUACUGGCCUGUCUUUCAGUGCUGCUGUAAAUUUUCCUGACACAUGAGAAAUGCUUUGAACACUAUGAAAGUGCUAUAGAAAUGGAUAUGAAGAGCAGAACAAGGAACAACAAUGUAACUAGAGGAAUUAACCCAAGAGAAGGAUCUGGAGAAGUUUAAAUAUCGGUGAAUAAGCAGCAAUAGCAAGAUGGAAGUGGUCGCCUGGGGUCCCUGGAAGAUCCACAGUGGGCCCCUCAGGUGUGUGUGCCUUCCAAUGUGUUCAACCAUUCUUA